rnacentral:rRNA from 1 species
GACGAACGCUGGCGGCGUGCUUAACACAUGCAAGUCGAACGGAAAGGCCCUGCUUUUGUGGGGUGCUCGAGUGGCGAACGGGUGAGUAUCACGUGAGUAACCUGCCCUUGACUUUGGGAUAACUUCAUGAAACUGGGGCUCAUACCGGACAUGAGCUCCUGCUGCAUGGUGGGUGUUGGAAAGUUUCGGCGUUUGGGGAUGGACUCGUGGCUUAUCAGCUUGUUGGUGGGGUAGUGGCUUACCAAGGCUUUGACGGGUAGCCGGCCUGAGAGGGUGACCGGCCACAUUGGGACUGAGAUACGGCCCAGACUCAUACGGGAGGCAGCAGUGGGGAAUAUUGCACAAUGGGCGGAAGCCUGAUGCAGCAACGCCGCGUGCGGGAUGACGGCCGUCGGGUUGUAAACCGCUUUCGCCUGUGACGAAGCGUGAGUGACGGUAAUGGGUAAAGAAGCACCGGCUAACUACGUG